UGCGAGUCAGCUGAUGCGCGAGGGUUUGAAGCGGCACGACGAGGGAGCGCGUCCGCCGUGACAGCGGCGGGCGCUGUGGCCCGGGCUGCUCCACCGCGCGCGCUGGCGUCCGGCGCUCCCCACCCGGAAUGGCAGCCCCCGUGGGCCGGCGCGGCUCAGAGACUGAGCACCUCCUGACUCCCAGCCUUGGGUAUGGGACCCAGGCAGGGGCUUCUCCAGCCCCUGCAACCUCUCUGGAAGAGGAAGACCUCCGCCGCCGUCUCAAGUACUUCUUCAUGAGUCCCUGUGACAAAUUUCGAGCCAAGGGUCGCAAGCCCUUUAAGCUGAUGCUGCAAGUGGUGAAGAUCCUGGUGGUCACAGUGCAGCUCAUCCUGUUUGGGCUCAGCAACCAGGUGGCAGUGACAUUCCGAGAGGAGAACACCAUUGCCUUCCGCCACCUCUUCCUUCUGGGCUACUCUGAUGGGGCGGAUGACACCUUCGCAGCCUACACACGGGAGCAGCUCUACCAGGCCAUCUUCUACGCCGUGGACCAGUACCUGAUGCUUCCUAAUGUGUCGCUGGGCCACUAUGCAUAUGCUCGGGGCGGGGGUGGCCCCUGGGCCAAUGGCUCGGCCCUGGCCCUCUGCCAGCGAUACUACCACCGUGGCCAUGUGGACCCAGCCAAUGACUCCUUUGACAUCGACCCAAUGGUUGUCACUGAUUGCAUCCGGGUGGACCCCCCUGAGAGACCCCUUGUGCCCCCCAGUGAAGAUCUCUCCCUCUUGGACGGCAGCACCGGUUACAAGAACCUCACACUCAAAUUCCACAAGCUGAUCAACGUUACCAUCCACUUCCAGCUGAAGACCAUCAACCUUCAAAGCUUGAUCAACAAUGAGAUCCCAGACUGCUACACCUUCAGCAUCCUGAUCACGUUUGACAACAGGGCAUACAGCGGGCGCAUCCCCAUCAGCCUGGAGACCCAGACCCACAUCCAGGAGUGUAAGCACCCCAGCGUCUUCGGGCACGGAGACAACAGCUUCCGGCUUCUGUUUGAUGUGAUCGUGAUCCUCACCUGCUCCUUCUCCUUCCUGCUGUGUGCCCGCUCCCUGCUCCGAGGCUUCCUGCUGCAGAAUGAGUUUGUGCGGUUCAUGUGGCAGCAGCGGGGACGGGCUGUCAGCUUGUGGGAGCGGCUGGAAUUUGUCAAUGGCUGGUACAUCCUGCUGGUCACCAGCGACGUGCUCACCAUCUCGGGCACCAUCAUGAAGAUUGGCAUUGAAGCCAAGAACUUGGCCAGCUACGACGUCUGCAGCAUCCUCCUGGGCACCUCAACACUGCUGGUCUGGGUUGGUGUCAUCCGCUACCUGACCUUCUUCCAUAAGUACAAUAUCCUCAUCGCCACGCUGCGGGUGGCCCUGCCCAGCGUCAUGCGCUUCUGCUGCUGUGUGGCUGUCAUCUACCUGGGCUAUUGCUUCUGCGGCUGGAUCGUGUUGGGGCCCUACCACGUGAAGUUCCGCUCGCUGUCCAUGGUGUCGGAGUGCCUCUUCUCGCUCAUCAAUGGGGAUGACAUGUUCGUGACGUUUGCAGCGAUGCAGGCCCAGCAGGGCCACAGCAGCCUGGUCUGGCUCUUCUCGCAGCUCUAUCUCUACUCCUUCAUCAGUCUCUUCAUCUACAUGGUGCUGAGCCUCUUCAUCGCGCUCAUCACUGGCGCCUAUGACACCAUCAAGGUCAGCCUCGAAGCCCUUCCAACCUUCCUCCCCAUGGGGCCAACCAAAUCACACACAGCCCCAUCCUGGGCAUUGUGCCCCUUGGAGGCCACCACAUCAGCAUCUCAGGGGACAUGGCAAGGCAAGGAGAGAAGGGCCCAGGGAGAGAAAGUGGGAGGAGACUCUGCAAAGCCAAAGGCAAUGGGGGCUUGGAGUUAGAGGGCACAGGCAGACCGAUGUCAUGAGCACAGCUGCCGAGUUCUCAGUUUCACUGAGGUGGCGCUCAGGCCAGUGAGGGUUCUUGCGUCUGCUUUUACCAAUAGGGACAUCAGGCCAUAGAGAUUCAGUGACUUACCCAAGGUCAGCAACUAGGGAGUGAAGCCAGGCUCAAGCCAGAACUGUGGGUUCAGAAGCCUUGCUCCUAAACCCUCUGGCCUGGGUGGGGGCUGUGUGGGUCCGGGAACCAUGGCCGUCCUGCAGGCUGUGGGGAUUAAGGAAAGAAAGGGGUUAGAGCAGAGUGUGGUAUGGCAGGUAGAUAGGAUUCUUUUACCCAACGUGUCAGAGGGCCUGUUGUGAGCCGAGUGCUGUUUUGGGCACCAGUCACUUAGAAAACAAGGCAAGGUGUGCAUGGCCUGGGUUUUCGCAGAGCUUCAAAGUGGGCAAGGUGGCAUGACAUAUGACGAUUGGCUGGUGAGAGGAAUGAAGGAAGGAAAGUUUCUAGAACGUGCUUUUUGAUACUAGUCUCUAACCACAUGGGACUAUUUAAGUUUUGAUUUUAAUUCUAACAAAAUACAAUUCCAGAUUCAGUUCCUCAUUCACAUCCACAUAUCAAGUCCCCAGGAAACUAUGUGGCUCGUGGCUUCCAGAGAGAACAGCAUAGAAUUGAUCAUCUCAGAAAGUUCCAGAUUGAAGAGAUGAGAGCCCAACUGAGGGAGCAGCAAGGGGAAGGAAUAGUGAGAGCAAAGGAAUGGUUGCCAGAAAGAAGUUGGGGAAGGGAUGGGAGGCUGAAAGCAGCAAUGUUCACUCGGAGAGACGGACCAAGAAUGAGGCAGGCAGAUGUUGGUCAGUGAGGAAAGGAGAAGGUAGAGGGGAGGGCAGAUCUCAAGCGGCCCCUUCGUGCUGGCCAUGCUGCUCUUCCCAGCAGCACCCAGGCUCGGGCACGGAAGAGAGUGAGCUCCAGGCCUACAUCGCGCAGUGCCAAGAUAGCCCCACCUCUGGCAAGUUCCGCCGCGGGAGCGGCUCGACUUGCGGCCUGUGCUGCUGCUGCAGGGACGCCUCGCAGGAGCACUCGCUGCUGGUGAAUUGAUCUGGAGGACGACCACCACUGGACUUUAGCCCCAGGAGCCCGGACUGCGGAGAGCCUUGCCUAUUUAUUUUUUGGGUUUGCUUUUAAAGACUGGCUUCCUGUAGCACCCUGUAAGGGCGUGAGCCAGUUGGGUGGGCCAAGGGUAGACUGGGUGUUAAAUAAAACCGGAAACUAAACGAGUC